rnacentral:rRNA from 1 species
GAUGAACGCUAGCUAUAGGCUUAACACAUGCAAGUCGAGGGGCAGCAUGGUCUUAGCUUGCUAAGGCCGAUGGCGACCGGCGCACGGGUGAGUAACGCGUAUGCAACCUACCUUUAACAGGGGGAUAACACUGAGAAAUUGGUACUAAUACCCCAUAAUAUCAUAGAAGGCAUCUUUUAUGGUUGAAAUUCCGAUGGUUAGAGAUGGGCAUGCGUUGUAUUAGCUAGUUGGUGAGGUAACGGCCCACCAAGGCGACGAUCAGUAGGGGUUCUGAGAGGAAGGUCCCCCACAUUGGAACUGAGACACGGUCCAAACUCCUACGGGAGGCAGCAGUGAGGAAUAUUGGUCAAUGGACGAGAGUCUGAACCAGCCAAGUAGCGUGCAGGAUGACGGCCCUAUGGGUUGUAAACUGCUUUAUAGGGAUAAAGUGGGAGUCGUGACUCUUUUUGCAUGUACCUUAUGAAUAAGGACCGGCUAAUUCCGUGCCAGCAGCCG